ensembl:lncRNA
AGAAACCAAACGCACUUCGUUAAAGCUGCGAUGUGAACGCGUUUAAGAAAAUAGCAGAAGGGCAUAGAGGACCAGUGGAGAUGCUGAGGCAGUUGAGGCACUAUAAGAGAAUAUUUAGUGUGACAGCUGAAAUAAAGGUCAUUAUAAAGGUUAACAUCAGAGGCCAGCAUCCAUGUUGAACAGACUCUAAAGUUCAACCUGAACCCUGAGGAAAAUAAAACAACGACAUCGAGUGACAGGAAAUGUAUGGCUUCACGCUGUGCCUCAGACAGCAGGUGUACUGUCAUGUGAUCACAAGCAUGGCUCUCUGUCAUUCGCAGCAAUCACUGAACGACACCACCGGCAAAUAGCUACUGCAGAAGGACGAUUUCUCAGGGUGUCAAUCAUCACGAUCUGUUCAAACAUGUCUCUGGCGCAGCGAAACCAACGGUGAUGCCAGAAGUGUCAUGCCUGUUCAAACUGAGGGAGCACAUGUGAUCACUGCAUUUUAAGGGAAUAGUUUACCCAAAAUUAAAAUUUGCUGAAAAUUUACUCACCCUCAGGCCAUCCAAAUUGAUUCACCCCAAGGCCAUCCAAGAUGAAGAUGAGUUUGUCAACAGAUUUGGAGAAAUUUAGCAUUACUUC